rnacentral:tRNA from 1 species
GGGGCCGUAGCUCAGUUGGCAGAGCGCUUGAAUGGCAUUCAAGAGGUCAGGGGUUCGACUCCCCUCGGCUCCACCA